UUCGCCCUUUUCCGGUUGAUCCUGCCGGACCUGACUGCUAUCGGAUUGAUACUAAGCCAUGCGAGUCAUUGUAGCAAUACAAGGCAGACGGCUCAGUAACGCGUAGUCAACCUAACCUAUGGACGGGAAUAACCUCGGGAAACUGAGAAUAAUGCCCGAUAGAACACUAUAUCUGGAAUGGUUUGUGUUCCAAAUGAUUUAUCGCCGUAGGAUGGGACUGCGGCCUAUCAGUUUGUUGGUGAGGUAGUGGCCCACCAAGACUAUUACAGGUACGGGCUCUGAGAGGAGUAGCCCGGAGAUGGGUACUGAGACACGGACCCAGGCCCUAUGGGGCGCGGCAGGCGAGAAAACUUUGCAAUGUGCGAAAGCACGACAAGGUUAAUCCGAGUGAUUUGUGCUAAACGAAUCUUUUGUUAGUCCUAGAACCACUAACGAAUAAGGGGUGGGCAAGUUCUGGUGUCAGCCGCCGCGGUAAAACCAGCACCUCAAGUGGUCAGGAUGAUUAUUGGGCCUAAAGCAUCCGUAGCCGGCUCUGUAAGUUUUCGGUUAAAUCUGUACGCUUAACGUACAGGCUGCCGGGAAUACUGCAGAGCUAGGGAGUGGGAGAGGUAGACGGUACUCGGUAGGAAGGGGUAAAAUCCUUUGAUCUAUUGAUGACCACCUGUGGCGAAG
rnacentral:rRNA from 1 species